rnacentral:rRNA from 1 species
GAUGAACGUUGGCGGCGUGCCUAAUACAUGCAAGUCGAACGAAGACUGUAGUAAUACUGUCUUAGUGGCGAAACGGGUGAGUAACGCGUGGGUGACCUGCCCCGAAGUGUGGGAUAACAGUCCGAAAGGAUUGCUAAUACUGCAUAAUAUCCAAGAGAUUAGAUGCUUUUGGAUUAAAGGAGUAAUUCGCUUCGGGAGGGGCCCGCGUCCCAUCAGCUAGUUGGUAAGGUAAUGGCUUACCAAGGCGAUGACGGGUAGGGGACCUGAGAGGGUGGCCCCCCACAAUGGAACUGAAACACGGUCCAUACACCUACGGGUGGCAGCAGUAGGGAAUAUUAGUAAUGGGCGAAAGCCUGAACUAGCAACGCCGCGUGUGCGAAGAAGGCCUUCGGGUCGUAAAGCACUUUUUGAGAGGAUGAGGAAGGACGGUACUCUCAGAAUAAGUCUCGGCUAACUACGUG